rnacentral:tRNA from 1 species
CGGCCCGUAGCGCAGCGGUAGCGCGUCCGUUUGACAUGCGGGAGGUCGGAGGUUCGACUCCUCCCGGGCCGA